GAAAAGCCUUGCAGUUGAGCCCCAUUCCGACCGGGACCUGCGAGAGCGGAGGCGAGGCCGCCUCCCUUCUGCCGCUGCGGAAGCGACGCAAACAAGCGCGAUGGCGGCGGCGGGCGGCGUGCUCGUCAUCCAGAGCGACUGGCACGACACUUUAAGGGAUAAUGACAGUUCUGCAUGGAUAUUCCACAAACGUCUUGGAGAGAAGGGAGACUAUGGGAAGAUCGGGGGAUCUGCAUCUGACGGCAUUUUCCAGGUUCACUCCCGCACUGAACGGACAAUUGCUGUGUCACACCACCCGUCAGGAAUGUCCACCAUAUUCAUUGCACCAGUUGCAACAUUUAGCAACAUCCAUGCAAAAAGUGUGAUUGGACUGGAUGUAGCAAAUGGUGGUCUUGGUGUCUCUGUUUGCUCAGAAAACAAACUACAUGUCUGGGAAACAGAGAGUGGGGAAGUGAGAAGAUUGCUUGAAGGUCAUUUUUUUGAUGUGUAUACCUGUCGCCUCUUCCCCUCGGGCAUUGUGGUGCUGUCGGGGGGUGGGGACAUGCAACUCAGAAUAUGGGAUGCGGCCACUGGGCAGUGUCCUGUUGUUCUAAAGGGCCACACAGGAGCUGUUCUCGACACAGCUUUCAUUGAUCGUGGGAAGAAUGUCAUUUCUGUCAGCAAGGAUGGAACAGCAAGACUUUGGAACUGUGGCCAGAGUAAAUGCAUAGCAACACUCCUGACAGCAGAAUCAACAAUAACAUCUUGUGCAAUAACAGAUGUCACAGGUUUAAUUAAUCUUCCUGCACCUGCAGAAAUACCAGAUGAAUUAGAGCAUGGCACUGCAGGAAAGCUGCUGUUGCUUGGCUGUGAAGAAGGGAUGGUCCACUUGGUAGGUGUGGAGAGUCGGACUGUCCUGGGAUCAUUUACUCAAGGGGUCCCUGUGCUGUCUGUCUGCUGGGCAACACCUACUGUUGGGGUAGCUGGACUCAGCGAUGGGCGUCUGGUUAUUGUGGAUGCUGAGGCACUUGUAACACGUCCUCUGUCCCAUGACAGUGCCUCACCUGUCGAGACUGUAACAGCCUUAAAGGGAGGAGUGUUGGCAGGAAGGCGUGAUGGUCUGUGCCAGUUUUACAACCUGAAUGGCUUGAGCUCCUUCCAGUUAACUGGUUCAGAUUGUGACCCAAUAUACAAGAUAGUGCAGGAUACCAACUACAUCUACACAGCUUGUCGAGAUGGAUUAAUCCGAAAAUACAGAUGCAGUGACAUUAAUGUCUGAGUGGGGCUUGAUAUUUGUUCAUUAGAAGAUUCAAUCAGUUAGGUCUCAUUCUUUAUUUUUUGUUUCUCUCUCGCAGCUAGAAUCAGUGUGCAUGUGAUAAGAUACUAGAGUUUCCUCUCAUUUCUUUUUGUAAGAUAAUUCUUUGAGUUUUGAAUAAUAUGAGCUACUAGUAAAAAGUCUGAGUGAUAAGGUCUUUCCAGCUUUUUACCUUUUGGACUGAUAGAAUUCCGAAAAUACAAAACAGGGACAUAUAACACUAAGCCCAAUUAAUUAGAAAAUAAAAGUAAAUACAAGGUCUGAUAACUAGCAGAAAUACUGGUUGAUCUCAAGCAUUCUCGUUUUCAGUAUUUUCUUUAAUAUCAAGUACAAAUAAAAAUUUUUGCAUCAGCAUGUUUGAAAAUGAAAACAGUAACAUGCAUUGGUUUUCCAUUUAAAUUCACCUUUUCUUUAUUUUUUUUUUCUAAUUCCUUGAUAAUGUAAUGGGUAUUUGGUUUCUUUUUGAAGCACUGUACUAAGCAAAAGUUAUUGGUGUGAUACAAAGAGGUCUCUUAAGAGUUUAUAUGAGAGGAACUGGUUAUUGAAAGUUGAAAGAUUUCACUAUUGAUAAGGAAUACUGUAAACUGUUUGUUGUAAAAACAAAAAAAAACAAUAUGAUUGCUAGAUAAUGAUUUGAAUGCAAAGUUUCUUUUGUACACCUAUAAUUUAAAUGGAAGUUAAAUAUAAAUCUGAAAUAAAUAUUUUGAGGUGUAAACUCAUUAAAUAUGAAAUAACUUGUUGCAAAGGAACACCUGUAAUGAGUUUUUCCUAGUUUAGAUUUUGCACAGAAAGUGCUUUGCAGGACUGUCAUGUAUUUAGCAGAAAACAGUUUGAAGAUAUUACAUUAAUAUAUGCAAACACAAAUAUGCAGAAAUGGCAAUGAGGAAUAAAUAUUAUGAUGAAGUA
rnacentral:misc_RNA from 1 species